AUUGAACGCUGGCGGCAGGCCUAACACAUGCAAGUCGAGCGGAUGAAGGGAGCUUGCUCCUGGAUUCAGCGGCGGACGGGUGAGUAAUGCCUAGGAAUCUGCCUGGUAGUGGGGGAUAACGUCCGGAAACGGGCGCUAACACCGCAUACGUCCUGAGGGAGCAAGUGGGGGAUCUUCGGACCUCACGCUAUCAGAUGAGCCUAGGUCGGAUUAGCUAGUUGGUGGGGUAAAGGCCUACCAAGGCGACGAUCCGUAACUGGUCUGAGAGGAUGAUCAGUCACACUGGAACUGAGACACGGUCCAGACUCCUACGGGAGGCAGCAGUGGGGAAUAUUGGACAAUGGGCGAAAGCCUGAUCCAGCCAUGCCGCGUGUGUGAAGAAGGUCUUCGGAUUGUAAAGCACUUUAAGUUGGGAGGAAGGGCAGUAAGUUAAUACCUUGCUGUUUUGACGUUACCAACAGAAUAAGCACCGGCUAACUUCGUG
rnacentral:rRNA from 1 species